CCUACGGUUGGCAGCAGUGAGGAAUAUUGGUCAAUGGGCGCGAGCCUGAACCAGCCAAGUCGCGUGAGGGAAGACGGUCCUAUGGAUUGUAAACCUCUUUUGUCGGGGAGCAAAAGACGCCACGCGUGGCGUUCCGAGAGUACCCGAAGAAAAAGCAUCGGCUAACUCCGUGCCAGCAGCCGCGGUAAUACGUAGGAGGCGAGCGUUAUCCGGAAUGACUGGGCGUAAAGGGUGCGUAGGUGGUUUGGCAAGUUAGUAGCGUAACUCCAAGGCUCAACCUUGGAACUACUACUAAAACUGUUGGACUUGAGUGCAGGAGGGGCAACCGGAAUUCCUAGUGUAGCGGUGGAAUGCGUAGAUAUUAGGAGGAACACCAGUGGCGAAGGCGGGUUGCUAGACUGUAACUGACACUGAGGCACGAAAGCGUGGGGAGCAAACAGGAUUAGAUACCCCAGUAGUC
rnacentral:rRNA from 1 species